AUUUUAUCACUUUUAAUGAGAUUCAUAAGGAUUUUGUAAAAAUCUAUUCAAAUUCAUGAAAUUCAUUAAAAAUGUAUAAUUUUUAAAAAUCCAAUAAAAUCUUAAUUAAGUACACUCCUAUAAAUUUAUUUAAGCAACCUAGGCGGUAAAAACCCUCAUUUAUUUAUAUUUGGGUUGUAAACUAUAAAAUUGAAAUUGCCAAACAUGAGGGCCACACUGAAUUAGAUUGAAAUUGCUUUUGUAUCAUGGAGGUUUCAUUCAGAGCACAUUUCUUUGAGACUUCAAUAGAUUUACUUGCGCAAAUGAGUAUAGCCUCUAAACAUAGCAAGUAUGCUCCUUGGAACUAAGAGCAAACAAAAAAUGAUGUUUGGUAAAAUUGGUGGUAUUGCGUUUGAACAUCGUUUCCAUAAUUCCAUAUGACAGAGAAACCGACACUAAAGUAGACAUCUCCAAGUUGGGUGUCAUAUUCUGUAAGCGUUUUCACCUAAAACAUCUCAACUAUAAAAUGGAUUGGUUUAUUAAUCACAAAAGAAUUCUAUAGAGACAUGAAAUCACCUAGUGAAGCUAUCCAUUUGUCCAAACUAAUUAGCUAGACAAGAGGCGAGAAUUAUCAACAUUUGAUUUUUACUGCAAGACUUAAAACCAGUAAAACAAUAUAUGCAAUAAUUUAAGUAACUUCGAUGGAGAUGCAUGUGUUUUGGAGACAGUUCCAUAGCUCACCCAGAGAAAUCUCUUUGAAGAUGAUUAGCAUCCCAAGUAAUCCCAUACACAGUCCAAAGAACCACCCCGUGCAGCCAAACGAAGAGGUGUACUCCACGAGUAGUUGCAAAGAUUAUCUGUCAUUAUAACUGAUGAAUGCGACAAAAUGCUAAAACUAUAUUAAAUUUACACCUAUAUCCACCAGUAAGGGUAGACGCAAGAGCCCCACUGCUCAAUAGAAUGCGAACACAAUCAUGUCGCCUUUGACGACCGACCAAAUGCAGUGCGGUUGCACCUCUUCCAUCCCUUAUGUUAACAAAUCUCGAAAGUCACUUGACCUCCCGUUUGAGCACAAGAAUUAGCACUUCAUUUUUGUUGG
rnacentral:lncRNA from 1 species